UAGUCCACGCCGUAAACGAUGAUCACUCGAUAUUGGCUUCGGUCAGUGUCCAAGCGAAAGUGAUAAGUGAUCCACCUGGGGAGUACGCCGGCAACAGUGAAACUCAAAGGAAUUGACGGGGGCCCGCACAAGCGGUGGAGCAUGUGGUUUAAUUCGAUGAUACGCGAGGAACCUUACCAGGGCUUAAAUGCAGAACGACCGGCGUGGAAACAUGCCUUUCUUCGGACGGACUGCAAGGUGCUGCAUGGUCGUCGUCAGCUCGUGCCGUGAGGUGUUAGGUUAAGUCCUGCAACGAGCGCAACCCCUAUCAUUAGUUGCUAACAGGUUAAGCUGAGGACUCUAAUGAGACUGCCGGUGCAAACCGAGAGGAAGGUGGGGAUGACGUCAAAUCAUCACGGCCCUUACGUCCUGGGCUACACACGUGCUACAAUGGCAGGUACAGAGGGCAGCUACCCCGCGAGGGGAUGCGAAUCUUCAAAGCCUGUCUCAGUUCGGAUCG
rnacentral:rRNA from 1 species